GCUGGGUGUGGUGGCGCAAGCCUGUAAUCCCAGCUACUUGGGAGGCUGAGGCAGAAGAAUCGCUUGAACCUGGGAGGCAGAGGUUGCAGUGAGCCGAGAUCGUGCCACUGCACUCCAGCCUGAGUAACAGAGCGAGACUCAGUCUCAA
rnacentral:SRP_RNA from 2 species